CAAAGGUGAGCCAGUACAGGAUGGACCCGCGUCUGAUUAGCUAGUUGGUAAGGUAACGGCUUACCAAGGCGACGAUCAGUAGCCGACCUGAGAGGGUGAUCGGCCACAUUGGAACUGAGACACGGUCCAAACUCCUACGGGAGGCAGCAGUGGGGAAUAUUGCACAAUGGGCGAAAGCCUGAUGCAGCAACGCCGCGUGAGUGAUGAAGGCCUUCGGGUCGUAAAACUCUGUCCUCAAGGAAGAUAAUGACGGUACUUGAGGAGGAAGCCCCGGCUAACUACGUGCCAGCAGCCGCGGUAAUACGUAGGGGGCUAGCGUUAUCCGGAUUUACUGGGCGUAAAGGGUGCGUAGGCGGUCUUUCAAGUCAGGAGUGAAAGGCUACGGCUCAACCGUAGUAAGCUCUUGAAACUGGGAGACUUGAGUGCAGGAGAGGAGAGUGGAAUUCCUAGUGUAGCGGUGAAAUGCGUAGAUAUUAGGAGGAACACCAGUUGCGAAGGCGGCUCUCUGGACUGUAACUGACGCUGAGGCACGAAAGCGUGGGGAGCAAACAGGAUUAGAUACCCUGGUAGUCCACGCUGUAAACG
rnacentral:rRNA from 1 species